rnacentral:rRNA from 1 species
GAUGAACGCUGGCGGCGUGCCUAAUACAUGCAAGUCGAGCGAACAGAUGAGGAGCUGGCUCCUCUGACGUGAGCGGCGGACGGGUGAGUAACACGGGGGUAACCUACCUAUAAGACUGGGAUAACUGCGGGAAACCGGAGCUAAUACCGGAUAAUAUAUUUAACCGCAUGGUUCAAGAGUGAAAGACGGUUUUGCGAUGACUUAUAGAUGGAUCCGCGCGGCAUUAGCUAGUUGGUAAGGUAACGGCUUACCAAGUCAACGAUGGGUAGCCGACCGGGGAGGGGGGUAGGCGACCCUGGAACUGAGACACGGUCAAGACUACUACGGGAGGCAGCAGUAGGGAAUCUUACGCAAUGGGCGAAAGCCUGACGGAGCAAGGCCGCGUGAGUGAUGGAGGUCUUCGGAUCGUAAAACUCUGUUAUGAGGGAAGAACAAAUGUGUAAGUAACUAUGCACGUAUUGACGGUACCUAGUCAGAAAGCCACGGCUAACUACGUG